rnacentral:rRNA from 1 species
GGGCGAACGGGUGAGUAACACGUGGGUAAUCUGCCCUGCACUCUGGGAUAAGCCUGGGAAACUGGGUCUAAUACUGGAUAUGACCUUUCUCCUUAUGGGGUUUGGUGGAAAGUUUUUCGGUGUAGGAUGAGCCCGCGGCCUAUCAGCUUGUUGGUGGGGUGAUGGCCUACCAAGGCGACGACGGGUAGCCGGCCUGAGAGGGUGAUCGGCCACAUUGGGACUGAGAUACGGCCCAG